rnacentral:rRNA from 1 species
CCUACGGGAGGCAGCAGUAAGGAAUAUUGGUCAAUAGACGCAAGUCUGAACCAGCCAUGCCGCGUGAAGGAUGAAGGUCCUCUGGAUUGUAAACUUCUUUUAUAUGGGACGAAAAAAGGGCAUUCUUGCUCACUUGACGGUACCAUAGGAAUAAGCACCGGCUAACUACGUGCCAGCAGCCGCGGUAAU